CUCCUCCAGCCGUGCUGCCCCAUAACUUAGGCAUUGGAGGGACAGCUAGAUACAAACCAUAACAGCACACAAGCACCGACUCUCAGCUUCAGUGAUAAGCGUGGCGGUCAGCGCUGCCCUUCCCGGGCGCCUCACAGACCCUGUUCGCAGGCGGAGGCUUUGGCCUCCAGUCUGGAAAUGCAGCUCCCAGAAGAAGAGCAGAAUGGCUUCAGUGACAGUCUCCUCUCCUCUUCAUCUUUGAGACAAGAUUGAUAAAUGUCAACUCUCAUCGUUAGACAAAUGGGAAAGGAGCAUGAAUGAGCAGAAGAGUUGCUGUCCUGAUAAAGUGAAAAAGGAAGCGUACACAGAUGGAGAGAGUUAGAGUGGACUCAUUGUCCUAAAACGCUCACCCAUGUUCCAGGUCAGGACCCCAGCAGACAGAUGCUUUUCUAGUGCAGAUUUUUACAACCAGCUCAAUUUAGGAGAUGUGACAGUGACACAAAAAUUUAUCCUUCUGCCAUCAUCCGGAAGCUUGGGUUGCUUAAGACAGAAUAUUUGGUGACUUAUUGGUGUGACUUGACCAUUUCUUUUGAAGGAAUUUCAGGGAUAAUAAGACAUGCCUCCAAGAUUUUUAUGACACAGAUGUUUUUCAGUGUGAAGAAAGGAUUUUAAACCAAAUUGUGACGCAAGAAAGAAGAGCAUGAAGAACAUGGUGCAGAAGAGGAAUUCUCUAAAACAACACAGAGCCCAUAGGGAACCCUCCCAUGAAGACAUUUGGAAAGGUCAGGCUCAUAAAGAUGGUUGAGUAAAGGGCAUAAAUGGUAAUGGCUGAGCUCAAUGAAUACUUGUAAAGGAAAGACACCAUAUUCAUGGUCAGAACCAGAAACAUAAGCAAGAUGACCCAGAACAAUGUUUGGUUAAAGUAAUGGAACACAAACAGGUAAAAGAGAUAUGAGAACUUCUCUUUUUUAAAAAUUUUUUUGUAUUUGGCACAGCAUCUCACUAUGCAGCUCUG